rnacentral:rRNA from 1 species
UGCCUUUGUGAGGGGGAUAACCAUUGGAAACGAUGGCUAAUACCGCAUAAUGUGCUCUUGUAAAGAGAGUACCAAAGGGGGGAGUUUACUCCUCUCGCACAAAGAGCGGCCCAAGUGAGAUUAGCUAGUUGGUGAGGUAAAGGCUCACCAAGGCGACGAUCUCUAGCUGUUCUGAGAGGAAGAUCAGCCACACUGGGACUGAGACACGGCCCAGACUCCUACGGGAGGCAGCAGUGGGGAAUAUUGCACAAUGGGGGAAACCCUGAUGCAGCCAUGCCGCGUGUGUGAAGAAGGCCUUCGGGUUGUAAAGCACUUUCAGGUGUGAGGAAAGCGAUACGGUUAAUACCCGUAUUGUGUGACGUUAACACCAGAAGAAGCACCGGCUAACUCCGUGCCAGCAGCCGCGGUAAUACGGAGGGUGCGAGCGUUAAUCGGAAUUACUGGGCGUAAAGCGCACGCAGGCGGUCUGUUAAGCUAGAAGUGAAAGCCCUGCGCUCAACGUGGGAAGGCCUUUUAGAACUGGCAGACUAGAGUUUUGGAGAGGGGAGUGGAAUUCCACGUGUAGCGGUGAAAUGCGUAGAUAUGUGGAGGAACAUCAGUGGCGAAGGGACUCUCUGGCCAAAGACUGACGCUCAUGUGCGAAAGUGUGGGUAGCGAACAGGAUUAGAUACCCUGGUAGUCCACACCGUAAACGCUGUCUACUAGCUGUGUGUGGUUUUAAAUCGUGC